rnacentral:rRNA from 1 species
AACGAACGCUGGCGGCAUGCCUAACACAUGCAAGUCGAACGAGACCUUCGGGUCUAGUGGCGCACGGGUGCGUAACGCGUGGGAACCUGCCCUUAGGUUCGGAAUAACUCCCCGAAAGGGGUGCUAAUACCGGAUAAUGUCUUCGGACCAAAGAUUUAUCGCCUUUGGAUGGGCCCGCGUUGGAUUAGCUAGUUGGUAGGGUAAAAGCCUACCAAGGCGACGAUCCAUAGCUGGUCAGAGAGGAUGAUCAGCCACACUGGGACUGAGACACGGCCCAGACUCCUACGGGAUGCAGCAGUGGGGAAUAUUGGACAAUGGGCGAAAGCCUGAUCCAGCAAUGCCGCGUGAGUGAUGAAGGCCUUAGGGUUGUAAAGCGCUUUUACCCGGGAUGAUAAUGACAGUACCGGGAGAAUAAGCUCCGGCUAACUCCGUG